CCUUUUUUUAUUAUUUCAAGAGGAAUAAAAACAAUUACUUUUAUUGAUUCAUAUGACCAAAACUCAACUUUACCGCCCUCCUGAAGGAAGAGUGUUUUAGGAAAACAACAACAAUAGCAAAAUUCUCAUAAGCGCUUCAUGAGUUUUUAAGUGCAUUAAAAAAAUGAAUUACACCCCUAGAGACGCAACUUACUUACUUCCGAGAACAUUUUUUGUCUAUGCUAUAUGUCAUGUCCUGGUGUGCAAAGCAAGCAAAAGCAAAGCACAUCACAUCAACAUUUAUUUCGGAGAAAAAAAAAAAAAGGACAUUACAUGAAGACAACACAACUAUGUGAAGCUUUAACGCACCAUCACGCGGUUCAUAUCCGCAACAACAAACAAGGACAAGUUCCAAGAAACGAGUUUAAAAGGAAAUAUAUGUUCCGUUUGGGAUACCACCUUUGCAACUUAGGACUUAGAGGACUACCCAUGAAAAGAGAACUCAUUCACGGCCCACUUAGAAUAAGACGGAAAUCAAGUCAAAUCAACAUCCGGACGACUUAACCCAAAGUAUAGUAAAGUAUAACCUUAUCUAUCUUUGGGGGUUGAAAUGACUUUCAUUGUCACGAGCACGAGACGACUUUUGUCGCAUUUUGAUUAAAUUACAUAUUUUGAUGUUUUCUCGCACCUUA